UACGAAGUUCCAGCUUCCAGCGCUUGGAUACGCUUCCCCUCGAAACCACGCCAUUUCAUUGACUGAUAAUGAGCACAGGGCCCAGUAUAAAUACCCCGUUUGAUUACAAACAAAUCAAGUCAGUAUUCACUAGCUCAAGCUUCUACUUUUCUCAGCCUUUAAAAACCCCAACCAAACUCCAACAUGUACGGACAAGAGAAGAACGUCAUUGACAUCGUCGCCCUCAACGGCAAAGAGCGCAACGCCAUGGACAUCGUCGCCUUAAACGGCAAAGAACGCAACACGGUUGACAUCGUUGCCCUCAACGGAAAGGAACGUAAUGUUGUCGACAUCGUUGCCCUCAACGGAAAGGAACGCGUUGUCUUCGACGUCAUCGCCCUCAACGGAAAGGAAAGGACCUCCUUCGACAUCAUCUCCCUAUAAGUUCCUCUCCCUGAGUCCGACCAUCUGUAAUAAAAGCAGAUGGAAAGAUUCCUGGUUAAUAGAAUGAAGUGCUCCUGAAUUCUAUAUCCCUCUUUGGAUCCACAUAAUUACAUUCUGUGUAAUCAAAAUUUAGUCCGAAUAAAACAAUCAAAACGAAA